UAUGGCUGGAGUGUUGAAAGCAUACAGGCUCUUUAGGAAGGACAGGCAGGGGGAGGAGGAGAGGGUGUUGCUCUCUGUGUCAGUGACCAGCUGGAGUGCAAGGAGUUCUGCCUGGGGAUGGAUAAGG